rnacentral:rRNA from 1 species
UAGCGGAGGGGGCUAGCGUUGUCCGAAGUUACUGGGCGUAAAGCGCGCGUAGGCGGGUUGGUAAGUCCGCUGUGAAAUCCCUGGGCUUAACCUGGGAACUGCAGUCGAUACUGAUGAACUAGAGUGCGGUGAGAGGGUGGCGGAACUCCGGGUGUAGCGGUGAAAUGCGUAGAUAUCCGGAAGAACACCGAUGGCGAAGGCAACCACCUGGGCCUGCACUGACGCUGAGGUACGAAAGCGUGGGGAGCAAACAGG